rnacentral:rRNA from 1 species
CACGUAGGGCGCAAGCGUUGUCCGGAAUUAUUGGGCGUAAAGAGCUCGUAGGCGGUCUGUUGCGUCCGCUGUGAAAACUCGGGGCUUAACCCCGAGCCUGCAGUGGAUACGGGCAGACUAGAGGUAGGUAGGGGAGAAUGGAAUUCCCGGUGUAGCGGUGAAAUGCGCAGAUAUCGGGAGGAACACCUGCGGCGAAGGCGGGUAGCUGGGCCAACACUGACGCUGAGACGCGAAAGCUAGGGGAGCAAACGGG